rnacentral:rRNA from 1 species
GAUGAACGCUAGCUACAGGCUUAACACAUGCAAGUAGAGGGACCGGCGCACGGGGGAGUAAAACGUAUCCAACCUGCCCUUUACUCGGGGAUAGCCUUUCGAAAGAAAGAUUAAUACCCGAUAUAAAGGAUGGGGAUGCGUUCCAUUAGGUGGUUGGUGAGGUAACGGCCCACCAAGCCGUCGAUGGGUAGGGGUUCUGAUAGGAAGGUCCCCCACAUUGGAACUGAGCCACGGUCCAAAGUCCUACGGGAGGCAGCAGUGAGGAAUAUUGGCCAAUGAGCGUUAGCCUGAACCAGCCAAGUAGCGUGAAGGAUGAAGGCUUAUGGGUCGUAAACUUCUUUUAUAUAAGAAGAUGUAUUAUAUGAAUAAGGAUCGGCUAACUCCGUGCCAGCAGCCGCGGUAAUUC